AGAGCUCAAGAAAUAUAUAAAAGACACUGUGAAGAAAAAUUUGUUAAUGAAAUGAUUGCCUUUCAAAAAGCUUGUGAAAGAUUUCAAGAUGCUCAAACAAAAGCUGCAACUGUGAAAAAGGAAUUUAAUCUUUAAAAUUUCCAAAAGAAUGACAAAGUGAACUGAUGGCAGAUCAUAUUCUGUGGUCAUUUUGAAUUAUGUUCAUUGUUUUUAUUUAAAGAACUUUGAAAUAAUUACAUGAAAGGAGUAUUCCAUGUCUCAAGAUGGUUUUAUAUAUAAGCUCAUAAAAAUGUAAAGAAUAAUUAAAAUGUUCUCUUUUGAUCAUAAUUUAACUUAAAUCAAUUUGAAUUGACAUUCCUAAAAUUUCCAGAUAUUCAGGGAAUAAUUAAACCCAAUUUAAUCUAUUGCAGGAAAAUUGCUAAGGCAUUGCUUGUAUUGUUUCAUAUCCUAAAUAGAGAAAUCCAUAAGCUAUUUUCAGUUUCUCUGACAAACUUAGCAUAGUAAAUUCUGCCCAAGUUACUGACUUUUAUUAAGAUACUAUGUUCUUUUAGUUUCAUUACCUGCUUUCAUAUAUUUAAUUAUAUUUUCUGUUUACUUUGUUAAAACACUUUCUGAAUUUCUUUUUUAAAAUAAAGAUUUCACCAUUAUGUCAGUGAUGGAUGUUCUUAUAAAAACUCAUAAAAUAUAAAUUGUAGAAGGGAAAUUAAACAUUCCUGUUAACUUCCUAGAAGACUGUUAAGAAUUUUGUAUAUUUACUUUCAAUGUGUUUGCCUUUUACCUCUCUGCCUCUCUGGUGCAGAGAGGUGUGAAGAGACAGAGAGAGGACACAUAUAAUUGAGUAUUUGUGAUCAUAAAAUACACAGAAAUGGUAUAUACUAAUUUAAGUCUGUUUAAUAUAUAUUCAUGGUAGAAUUUGAAAAGUUAAAAAAAAUAUAAAAGUCCUUUGUAAAAUUUUAGUUUAUUUUCAGUGUUUCCAUAUAUCUGGAAAGAUACAUAUGUCACUAUUAUUACAACAUUGCUAACUUAAUACACUGUAGCUAAUACUAUUCAAAAUUUCUCUUUAAUACUCAUCAGUUAUAAAUGUGUUUUUAAAAGUGUUUCUUUUUAAAAUUCUCUGAUUUUAUUACUCUAAAUUAAGUUUCCAAAAAUUAAGUAUUUUAUAACAGCAGUUAUUCAUUGUGCUUCUAUGAUGGACUGCGAAAAAAUGCUGGUAGCACUUUCCUAAUUUCCUGUAAAAAUAAUAGCUGCUUAUUUAAAUCCAUGGCCCCAGAGCUCCCUUUUCUUGUUAAUUUGCAGAUAACUAAUGAGCAAGUCAUAUUGGUUUUUCUAAUUAUUCUUGGAAAAGAACAAAGGGAGAUACUUUGAGGUGGUAAAAGUAUGACAGAUGUAGAUUUUCAUAGCAAAUUAGAUAAUUUCUCUGUAAUCCUGUUUUUAUAUUCUGUUUUUGGAAAUAAUAUGUAUCUUUUUGGGGAUUUUAUUGAAAAUAGUAGUCUAUAUCAUAUCCUACUGUUAUCAGACUUGAAUACAAAAAACAAAAAGCAACAUAGUGCCUUCCACAGAGUAAGAAUUGAAGGUAAGUGUGUAGUCAUAGAGGCAGAAUCUUUUCUGUGUAGUUAUAGGGGGAUUUGUCAACUAAGUAAGAGCUGAGGGACAGUCUGUCAAGGAUUGGUGGUUUGUUGGCAUGAUGUAUUUGAAUAUAAUUCAUUCUUUCAGUCUAAACAUUUAUUGAAUAUUUGUUGCCCUUCCUCUAUACUCCCAUUCCAUACCACAGAUCUUUUAUAACCUUUAUCACACAACAGGUAAUCAAUAAUUUCCUUGAUUCAUUCCCCCAACCUGAGCAUUUUAGGGCAAAGACUAUUUUACUCAUCUCUGUGUUUCCAUUACUUUGUACUAGUGCAGAUUUUAUGUUAUGCACAAUGCUUUUUCUGUUCAUAGUUUUCUUUUCCUGUUUAUGUGCUGUCCCAGGUCCAUCUCAUGACUUUUAAUCAUUUCUUACUAUUUAUGUUUUUGAAGAAUCAGAAAUCUGUAUCUCUAGGUUAUAUCUUAAGUUCAAUAUAUCUUCUACAUUUCCAAAUGCAUGCAGAGACCUCUUCUUCAAAGGCCUAGAAUCUUUUAAAAAUACUACAUUGAAAUAGAAUUUAUUGUGUUUUUGUUGUUGUUGUUGUUUGUUUUACUAUUUUGCUCCCUUUCCAAUCUUGCUUCUCUUUCUAUAUUCUAAACUCCCAUAGGUUCAUAGCCAUUUAAAUAGUUUCCCAUAUUAAAAGUUUAGAAUAUACCUUUUUUUUUUCUCUUAUUCCACCUCAUCUGAAUAAAUACAAAGUCUAAAAAUUUUAUCUGCAGGUCUCUUUGGCAGAGACUGGCUAGCUUUUCACCAAACCUAUUUUCUAUUUCCUCAGGACACAAUUAGCUUAUUUUUGCUAGCCUCCCAUGAAAAGUUAAUUGAGGCACAGGACUGAAUUCUGACUAGCAAAAUCGGGGUAAAAAUGAUUGGCAGCCCUUCCAGUUUCCUUAGCAGAACUAGCAACUGCUAUAAGCCUGAAGCAGUAUCCAAGGAUUACAGCAGCAGCAUCUCAUUUUAGAAGAAAAUUAAGAGGUCAGUUAGCAACUUUUUCUUAUUUUUCUUUCUUAGAACCAAGAGAAAGAAUCUAUGAGAAAAUGUGACUGUUAGAGAUGCAGAUCCUUCUUUCAUCUUUUCAUCAAUAGAGAUGUGCACCAACCAGAAUCUCUCUUCAUGCUUGAUGGCCCAGAAUAACAGAUCCUCUAGGAUAACAGAUCCUCCGUUCCCAGUGGCUUAGUCCUACUUAAUUUCUCACUGAUACUACAUGUCCAGUGGGCCUGAGACCUCUGUAUUACUUGUACCCAGCAAGACAAAUUUUGGCCUGCAUUUAAUCCCAUGGAAGAAUCAUUCCCCUAACCACACUCCUGCUGCCUCAUAAAGGAGUAUUCUGAGAGUUAAUCAUGCAGAGUCUCCCCUACAACGGCUGGAGGAAGUAAGAGAAAACCUUUGUCAGGUGUCUACUAGUUCAAGAACUAUGGAUGCAUGCUCUCUACCUUUUCCUCAUUUUAUCCUCAAAAAUCCAUGGAAAGGUAGGUACUAGGAUCCCCAUGUCUUAGCUGAAAAAACAGACUGAGUUAUUUAGUAAUUUUCAAAAUGCAAUGCAGAUAGCAAAGGACCUG
rnacentral:lncRNA from 1 species